rnacentral:rRNA from 1 species
UUCGGUUGAUCCUGCCGAAGGCUACUGCUAUUGGAGUUCGAUUAAGCCAUGCGAGUCUAAGGGGUACUUGUACCCCUGGCAUAAUGCUCAGUAACACGUGGAUAAUCUACCCUUAGGUGGGGCAUAAACCCGGGAAACUGGGGCUAAUUCCCCAUAGAUACAGAAGGCUGGAAUGCCUCUGUAUUCAAAGCUCCGGCGCCUAAGGAUGAGUCUGCGACCUAUCAGGUAGUAGUCAGGGUCACGACCUGACUAGCCAACGACGGGUACGGGGUGUGAGAGCACUUGCCCGGAGAUGGUUUCUGAGACACGAAACCAGGCCCUACGGGGCGCAGCAGGCGCGAAAACUUCGCAAUGCGGGAAACCGUGACGAGGGAACUCCAAGUGUCUAUGCAAUGCAUAGACUGUUUUUCAGCCUAAAUAGCUGUUAGAGUAAGGGGUGGGUAAGACCGGUGCCAGCCGCCGCGGUAACACCGGCACCCCGAGUGGUAGCCACUAUUAUUGGGCCUAAAGCGUUCGUAGCCGGUUUAGUAAAUUCUUGGGUAAAUCGUACAGCUUAACUGUGCGGAUUCCGGGGACACUACUAGACUUGAGACCGGGAGAGAUUAGAGGUACUUGCAGGGGAGCGGUGAAAUGUUGUAAUCCUGCAGGGACCACCAGUGGCGAAGGCGUCUAAUCAUAACGGCUCUGACGGUGAGGAACGAAACCCUGGGGCGCAAACGGGAUUAGAUACCCCGGUAGUCCAGGGCGUAAACGCUGCUGACUUGGUGUUGGAGAUCCUACGAGGGUGUCCAGUGCUGGCGCGAAGGUAUUAAGUCAGCCGCCUGGGGAGUACGGUCGCAAGACUGAAACUUAAAGGAAUUGGCGGGGGAGCACUGCAACGUGUGGAGCGUGCGGUUUAAUUGGAUUCAACGCCGGAAAACUCACCGGGGGCGACGGUUACAUGAAGGCCAAGCUGAUGACUUUGCCUGAUUUUCCGAGAGGUGGUGCAUGGCCGCCGUCAGUUCGUACCGUAAGGCGUUCUGUUAAGUCAGAUAACGAACGAGACC